rnacentral:rRNA from 1 species
AUUGAACGCUGGCGGCAUGCCUUACACAUGCAAGUCGAACGGCAGCACGGGGGCUUGCACCUGGUGGCGAGUGGCGAACGGGUGAGUAAUACAUCGGAACAUGUCCUGUAGUGGGGGAUAGCCCGGCGAAAGCCGGAUUAAUACCGCAUACGAUCUACGGAUGAAAGCGGGGGACCUUCGGGCCUCGCGCUAUAGGGUUGGCCGAUGGCUGAUUAGCUAGUUGGUGGGGUAAAGGCCUACCAAGGCGACGAUCAGUAGCUGGUCUGAGAGGACGACCAGCCACACUGGGACUGAGACACGGCCCAGACUCCUACGGGAGGCAGCAGUGGGGAAUUUUGGACAAUGGGCGAAAGCCUGAUCCAGCAAUGCCGCGUGUGUGAAGAAGGCCUUCGGGUUGUAAAGCACUUUUGUCCGGAAAGAAAUCCUUGGCCCUAAUACGGUCGGGGGAUGACGGUACCGGAAGAAUAAGCACCGGCUAACUACGUG